AUACUUACCCAGCAGGGAAGGAGGACAGCCUGAUCAGGAAGGUGGUUUUCCCAGGGUGAGGCUCAUCCCUUGCAUUCCAAGAGCGUUCUUUAAUUUUCCCAAAUGCAGGAAAUUCAGAUGCACUAUUUGUGAUUAACUGGGCUGUGUUCACUCUCUUCCUCA
rnacentral:snRNA from 1 species